ACGCCGCGUGAGGGAUGAAGGCCUUCGGGUUGUAAACCUCUUUUAGCAGGGAAGAAGCGAAAGUGACGGUACCUGCAGAAAAAGCACCGGCUAACUACGUGCCAGCAGCCGCGGUAAUACGUAGGGUGCAAGCGUUGUCCGGAAUUAUUGGGCGUAAAGAGCUCGUAGGCGGUUUGUCGCGUCUGCUGUGAAAAUCCAAGGCUCAACCUUGGACCUGCAGUGGGUACGGGCAGACUAGAGUGCGGUAGGGGAGAUGGGAAUUCCUGGUGUAGCGGUGGAAUGCGCAGAUAUCAGGAGGAACACCAAUGGCGAAGGCACAUCUCUGGGCCGUAACUGACGCUGAGGAGCGAAAGCGUGGGGAGCGAACAGGAUUAGAUACCCUGGUAGUCCACGCCGUAAACGGUGGGUGCUAGUUGUGGGCCACAUUCCACGUGGUCCGUGACGAAGUUAACACAUUAAGCACCCCGCCUGGGGAGUACGGUCGCAAGACUAAAACUCAAA
rnacentral:rRNA from 1 species